AUUCCAGCUCCAAUAGCGUAUAUUAAUGUUGUUGCAGUUAAAAAGCUCGUAGUUGAAUUUCUGGAAUGAACUUUCGGUCCGAGGCCUUGUGUCUUGCGUACUGUUUCUGUUCAUCCCAUCUUAGUAGUGAGUGUUACUGGCAUUCGGUUGUCGGUUGCAGGAGCUGCUUCGUUUACUGUGAAUAAAAUAGAGUGUUUAAAGCAGGCAUUACGCCUUGAAUACUUCAGCAUGGAAUAAAAUUAUAGGACUUAGGUGCUAUUUCAUUGGUUUGCACACCUAGUAAUGAUUAAUAGGGAUAGUUGGGGGUAUUCAUAUUUAACUGUCAGAGGUGAAAUUCUUGGAUUUGUUAAAGACGGACUACUGCGAAGGCAUUUGCCAAGGAUGUUUUCAUUA
rnacentral:rRNA from 1 species